rnacentral:rRNA from 1 species
GACGAACGCUGGCGGCGUGCUUAACACAUGCAAGUCGAACGGUAAGGCCCUUCGGGGUACACGAGUGGCGAACGGGUGAGUAACACGUGGGUGAUCUGCCCUGCACUUCGGGUUAAGCCGGGGAAACUGGGGCUAAUACCGGGUAGGACCACGACCUGCAUGGUGGGUGACGGAAAGCUUUUGCGGUGUGGGAUGGGCCCGCGGCCUAUCGGCUUGUUGGUGGGGUGAUGGCCUACCAAGGCGACGACGGGUGGCCGGCCUGGGAGGGGGCACGGCCACACUGGGACUGAGAUACGGCCCAGACUCCUACGGGAGGCAGCAGUGGGGAAUAUUGCACAAUGGGCGCAAGCCUGAUGCAGCGACGCCGCGUGAGGGAUGACGGCCUUCGGGUUGUAAACCUCUUUCAGCACCGACGAAGCGCAAGUGACGGUAGGUGCAGAAGAAGGACCGGCCAACUACGUGCCAGCCGCCGCCGUAA